UACGUAGGGUGCAAGCGUUGUCCGGAAUUAUUGGGCGUAAAGAGCUCGUAGGCGGCCUGUUGCGUCGGCUGUGAAAACCCGGGGGCUCAACUCCGGGCCUGCAGUCGAUACGGGCAGGCUAGAGUCCGGCAGGGGAGACUGGAAUUCCUGGUGUAGCGGUGAAAUGCGCAGAUAUCAGGAGGAACACCGGUGGCGAAGGCGGGUCUCUGGGCCGGAACUGACGCUAAGGAGCGAAAGCGUGGGGAGCGAACAGG
rnacentral:rRNA from 1 species